rnacentral:rRNA from 1 species
UGACCUAGCGGCGGACGGGUGAGUAAUGCUUAGGAAUCUGCCUAUUAGUGGGGGACAACAUCUCGAAAGGGAUGCUAAUACCGCAUACGUCCUACGGGAGAAAGCAGGGGACCUUCGGGCCUUGCGCUAAUAGAUGAGCCUAAGUCGGAUUAGCUAGUUGGUGGGGUAAAGGCCUACCAAGGCGACGAUCUGUAGCGGGUCUGAGAGGAUGAUCCGCCACACUGGGACUGAGACACGGCCCAGACUCCUACGGGAGGCAGCAGUGGGGAAUAUUGGACAAUGGGGGGAACCCUGAUCCAGCCAUGCCGCGUGUGUGAAGAAGGCCUUUUGGUUGUAAAGCACUUUAAGCGAGGAGGAGGCUACCGAGAUUAAUACUCUUGGAUAGUGGACGUUACUCGCAGAAUAAGCACCGGCUAACUCUGUGCCAGCAGCCGCGGUAAUACAGAGGGUGCAAGCGUUAAUCGGAUUUACUGGGCGUAAAGCGCGCGUAGGUGGCCAAUUAAGUCAAAUGUGAAAUCCCCGAGCUUAACUUGGGAAUUGCAUUCGAUACUGGUUGGCUAGAGUAUGGGAGAGGAUGGUAGAAUUCCAGGUGUAGCGGUGAAAUGCGUAGAGAUCUGGAGGAAUACCGAUGGCGAAGGCAGCCAUCUGGCCUAAUACUGACACUGAGGUGCGAAAGCAUGGGGAGCAAACAGGAUUAGAUACCCUGGUAGUCCAUGCCGUAAACGAUGUCUACUAGCCGUUGGGGCCUUUGAGGCUUUAGUGGCGCAGCUAACGCGAUAAGUAGACCGCCUGGGGAGUACGGUCGCAAGACUAAAACUCAAAUGAAUUGACGGGGGCCCGCACAAGCGGUGGAGCAUGUGGUUUAAUUCGAUGCAACGCGAAGAACCUUACCUGGUCUUGACAUAGUAAGAACUUUCCAGAGAUGGAUUGGUGCCUUCGGGAACUUACAUACAGGUGCUGCAUGGCUGUCGUCAGCUCGUGUCG